UCUCUCUCCUCUCUAUUGUUGUCUCCUCAUCUUUUCUACCAUAUAUAGGGAAAGGGUUGGAAGCCCGGCCAGCUUUAGUCUAUCUGAAGCUUUUGAAAUGUGUAAUCCUGAACAAAUUAAUUUGUUUUAAAGUAGAGGAGGCACUGGUGAUGUUGCUGACAGAAGAUAGAGAGCACUGAUGAUGAAAUGCAUGGAACUGCAGCAUCUCACUCCUUUGUGCUCUCUAUUCUUCUGUCAUCACCCUCAGCCCCUCGCUUCAACUUCAUAUAUAGUGAAAGCAUGUCACUUAUCGAUCGAUAUAUGAGCCUGUUCUUUGCCUAUUAUUAUUAUCUUUAUUUAUCCCCUCUAUGCUUCUAUAUAUGCUUCAGUCAUCCCCAUAAGCCCUACUCUUUUUUAGUGUUACUACUAUUCUUCCUGACAUCAAAUUCUGCUCUUUUUGUUGAGAUCUAUUUUGAGAUCUCUAAACACCAAUAUUAUGCUAACUAGAGAUCCCAAUAAAAUGUUUUUUUUUCCCUAUUUUUUCUCUGCAGGUUAUAUUGGACGUGCUGGGGAAACUGUGCAAGAUGCUCUAUCUCUAGCUAGCCCUGAAACCUAUAGAUGAAAACUAAUUAUGUUGUUUUUUAGGCCUGUGAUUGGUACCAUAGGUUACAGCUUGGCCGUCGAUCACAAAACUCAAAGGUAGAUUUGGAUACUUUUAACUAACCUAGCUAAAGGCACUGUGGUUGUGAUUUCUCUAUCCCCUCACAAAAUUUCUCAAUCCCCUGAUUGCUUGCUGACGAUAGAUCCUGUGCUAGCUUGUUUUUAAUAUGUAUUCAAAUCAGCUAAUUAAUUAGUGAAUUUGAAGUUGGAAACGAAAUUAAUUAAGUCAAAACGCUGUCAGGUCACUAAUUUCUUGAAGCUUAUUAGCUUUAAAUUAUUCCUCUAAAGUUUAUUGUUGUAUAAUACUAAUUGUAAGUAUGUGUACUAACAUGCAUUCAUGUAAUCAAAUAGGCUCGUGUUUAAUGUACGUAACAAAUUAUUUGCAGAAGAUAUUAUGCUUUUCGUGUCAAUCGAUUCUCAAUACAUGCAUAAUCAAAUUCAAAUGACAGAAAACGUAGAAAAUCAUGACUGAUUAUAUAUAAUUAGAAUUCGAUGCAAGAAGUUUGAUUGGACCGGCCAUAACCUAGCUAGCCUGGGUUUUAGCCCUUGUUUCCUAAGCAUCAUGACUUAUAUAUUCUUUUUCUCUAGGCCUUUAUGUUGAUCAUAUUAAUUAACAAGAUUUCCUGACAAAAAUUUAGUGCUUUUCAUAAUUAUAAAUUAUACUUUCAGUUUUGGGGCAUUACCAUGCAAGUAUCUUCUGUGUAUAUAUGAAGUAUAUCUAUAAAAUUUCUUAAAGCCUGUAGCUUCUUCAACUGAUCCUUAUCAAUAAAGAAGUACUAAAGCCAAAUCCUGUAGAGUUCAUCUUUAUCUAUAUGUGCAAUUCGAUCUGGACAUAUCUGAAUAUGUCAUUUAUGAAGUAUUUAUGUGCUCGAUCUGGAAAUUGUGCUCUUGAUGGCUGCGCCUCCCUCACUCCUUAUCCAAAAGCAUGCCUCCAUUAAAUAUUAGAUGCCGAAAGGAUCAAUGCCAUUUGUUAUAGGUAAAGGAUCAUGAAUUCUCCCCAACAUCUAUUAAUUGUCUUUGUACGUUUAGUUAUUAUCGCCAUCAUAGUCCUAAGUUUUUUGGUUGCUGGUAGCCUGGUAAUGGUCAGGUUAAUCUUUGUUAAAUUACUAAUUAGUCAAAAAUUAAUUAGAUAGAAAAAUGUAAAUUUAAGUAUUUAAAUUAAUAUUUUUAAUUUUUUCUUCAUGCGUGAAACCAAAUAACACGUACACUAUUAACUAUUUUAGUUGUGUUAAGGAAAUUAGAAGUGGACGCAAAGGACAAGCAACCUGAGCACCAAGUUCUUACCAUACUCAGCAUCAAGCGUAAAGAGGCAUGCAAGCCGAGUAUUUCCAUGUACAACAUCAAUCGUUUUUAAUGUAAUUCAGAAUUGGUGAGACGUGUCUCCUAGUUUCUAGUAUAUAAAUAGGUUGCAGUAGUGUAAACGUUCAAGAUACACAAACUCAUUCAAAAUGAAAUUAAAGUUUUUCUUUUA